rnacentral:rRNA from 1 species
GAUGAACGCUGGCAGCGUGCCUAAUACAUGCAAGUCGAACGCUUCACUUCGGUGAAGAGUGGCGAACGGGUGAGUAAUACAUAAGUAACCUGGCAUCUACAGGGGGAUAACUGAUGGAAACGUCAGCUAAGACCGCAUAGGUGUAGAGAUCGCAUGAACUCUAUAUGAAAAGUGCUACGGGACUGGUAGAUGAUGGACUUAUGGCGCAUUAGCUUGUUGGUAGGGUAACGGCCUACCAAGGCGACGAUGCGUAGCCGACCUGAGAGGGUGACCGGCCACACUGGGACUGAGACACGGCCCAGACUCCUACGGGAGGCAGCAGUAGGGAAUUUUCGGCAAUGGGGGAAACCCUGACCGAGCAACGCCGCGUGAAGGAAGAAGUAAUUCGUUAUGUAAACUUCUGUCAUAGAGGAAGAACGGUGGAUAUAGGGAAUGAUAUCCAAGUGACGGUACUCUAUAAGAAAGCCACGGCUAACUACGUG